UCAUGACUUCAGUGAAUGUAUACCCAGGCUUAUUGCGUUAGGAUCAAGUCAAGGCUGGAAGGCAGGAGAAUUUCUCUAUGACUAAAGGAAGCCAAAAAGCAAUCUUCAUAUUUCAUACCUUUCUAGAAACUGGGUGUGAUCUCACUGUUGGUAAAGCCCAGCCCUUCCCAACCUGCAAGCUCACCUUCCAGGACUGGGCCCAGCCCAUGCUCUCCAUAUAUAAGCUGCUGCCCGGAGCCUGAUUCUUAGUCCUGCUUCUCUUCCCUCUCACCUCCAGCCUCUCACGCUCUCCACAGCCCUCUCAUCUCCUGGAACCAUGGCCAGCACAUCCACCACCAUCAGGAGCCACAGCAGCAGCCGCAGGGGCUUCAGUGCCGGCUCAGCCAGGCUCCCUGGGGUCAGCCGCUCUGGCUUCAGCAGCGUCUCCGUGUCCCGCUCCAGGGGCAGUGGUGGCCUGGGUGGCGCAUGUGGAGGAGCUGGCUUUGGCAGCCGCAGCCUGUAUGGCCUGGGGGGCUCCAAGAGGAUCUCCAUUGGAGGGGGCAGCUGUGCCAUCAGUGGCGGCUAUGGCAGCAGAGCCGGAGGCAGCUAUGGCUUUGGUGGCGCCGGGAGUGGAUUUGGUUUCGGUGGUGGAGCCGGCAUUGGCUUUGGCCUGGGUGGUGGAGCCGGCCUUGCUGGUGGCUUUGGGGGCCCUGGCUUCCCUGUGUGCCCCCCUGGAGGCAUCCAAGAGGUCACCGUCAACCAGAGUCUCCUGACUCCCCUCAACCUGCAAAUCGACCCCGCCAUCCAGCGGGUGCGGGCCGAGGAGCGCGAGCAGAUCAAGACCCUCAACAACAAGUUCGCCUCCUUCAUCGACAAGGUCGGUUCCUGGAGCAGCAGAACUGGGUUCUUGGAAACCAAGUGGACCCUGCUGCAGGAGCAGGGCACCAGGAACCGUGAGGCAGAACCUGGAACCGUUGUUCGAGCAGUACAUCAACAGCCUCGGGAGGCAGCUGGACAGCAUGCGUCGAGGCAGGACGCCUGGACUCGGAGCUCAGAGGCAUGCAGAGCAGGACCUGGUGGAGGACUUCAAGAACAGAUAUGAGGAUGAAAUCAACAAGCGCACAGCAGCAGAAUGAAUUUUGUGACUCUGAAGAAGGAUGUGGAUGCUGCCUACAUGAACAAGGUUGAACUGCAAAAAGCCAAGGCAGACCUCUCACAGACGAGAUCCAACUUCCUGAGGCAGCAGGCAAUGUAUAGGGCUGGGUCUGUCCAGAUGCAGACCCACAUCUCAGACACAUCCGUGGUGCUGUCCAUGGACAAUAGCCGCAACCUGGACCUGGACAGCAUCUCGCUGAGGUCAAGGCCCAAUGCAGGAGAUUGCUCAGAGGCAGGGCAGAGGCCGAGGUCCUGGUACCAGACCAGGAGUGAAGAACUGCAGACUUCGCGAACUGAACAUGGGGACGACCUGCGCAACACCAAGCAGGAGAUUGCUGAGAUCAACCGCAUGAUCCAGAGGCUGAGAUCUGAGAUCGACCACGUCAAGAAGCAGAAAAAAACCAGCCCGGGUUUAGUCUCCUCUGGAAGACUGGAUGAUGAUUUCAACUAUUUCUUUCCUCUUACAGUGUGUAACCUGCAGGCCGCCAUUGCUGAUGCUGAGCAGCGUGGGAGAUGGCACUCAGGAUGCAAGAACAAGCUGGAAGGGCUGGAGGAUGCCCUGCAGAAGGCCAAGCAGGACCUGGCCCGGCUGCUGAAGAGGGUACCAGGAGCUGAUGAAUGUCAAGCUGGCCUGGACGUGGAGAUGCUCCACCUAUUCAUAGCUGCUGGAGGGCGAGGAGUGCAGGCUGAAUGGCGAAGGCGUUGGACAAGUCAACAUCUCUGUGGUACAAUCCACCGUCUCCGAGUGGCUGUGGCGGUGCCAGCGGUGUCGGCAGUGGCUUGAGGCCUGGGUGGAGGAAGCAGCUACUCUAUGGCAGUGGUCUUGGCGGUUGGAGGUGGCUUCAGUUCCAGCAGCGGCAGAGCCAUUGGGGGUGGCCUCAGCUCUGUUGGAGGCAACCAGUUCCACCAUCAAGUACACCACCACCUCCUCCUCCAGCAGGAAAGGCUACAAGCACUGA